UUUUAAAGAUUGGAAUAAGUAGUAGCUUGCUUUAUAAAUCUUAGUAUCUCUCAAUGUCUGUCUCUCUCUUUCUGGUUUGAUCGUUUUCUCGGGAAAAUUAAAAUUUGAUUUUUCUCGAGAAAAUUUUAGAGAUGAGAGGCGCGAAUGGAAAUUCUAGAGCUUUGAACAACACUUUCGAGACUAUACACGCGGCUGCUACUGCGAUCGCUUCAGCUGAGAAUCGUGUUCCUCAAGCUACGGUUCAGAAGAGAAGAUGGGGCGGCUGCUUGAGCAUGUACUGGUGUUUUGGAAUUGACAAGCAUAAAAAACAAUUUGGGCCUGCUGUCUGCGUUCCUGAACCAACGACCUCCCGAAUUGAUGCAUCCGCAUCUGAAAAUUCCACCCUAGCUCCUGGCUUAGUUCUUCCCUUCGUUGCACCUCCCUCCUCCCCUGCAUCCUUCCUUCAAUCAGAACCCCCUUCUGCUACACAAUCACCAGUUGGUGUACUUUCUCUCAACUCUGUAUCUGUCAAUAUGUACUCCCCUAGUGGGCCUGCUUCAAUUUUUGCUAUUGGUCCUUAUGCUCAUGAAACCCAGUUAGUCUCACCGCCUGUCUUCUCGACCUUCACCACUGAGCCAUCAACUGCCCCUUUCACUCCACCUCCGGAGUCUGUCCACUUGACUACACCUUCCUCACCUGAGGUUCCAUUUGCACAGUUUCUUGAACCAAAUCUUCGAUGUGGCGAUGCUGGUCAGAGAUUUCCGUUUUCCCAAUAUGAAUUCCAAUCUUAUCAGCUUUAUCCUGGAAGCCCAGUUGGCCACCUGAUCUCACCUAGCUCCGGCAUCUCAGGUUCAGGCACGUCUUCUCCUUUCCCUGAAGGUGAAUUUACUGCUGCUGGAUCUCAAUUUCCCGAGUUCCGGAUGGGUGAUCCUCCAAAACUGUUGAACCUUGAUAAACUUUCUGCCCGUGAGUGGCGGUCAUGUCAAGGUUCUGGAACAUUGACCCCAGAUACUGUCAGGUCCACUCCUCACAAUGGUUUUCUUCUGGACCAUAAGAUUUUCGAGGUUGCAUUGCAGUCACCAUCCGGAAUUGGACUCCAAAAUGAUCAGGUUGUUGGGCAUAGAGUCUCGUUUGAGUUGACUGCUGAAGAUGAUGUAAGAUGUGUAGAAAAGAGGCCAGCAACAUUGACUGAAGCCGUAUCAGAAUCUCUACAGAAUGGAGCAAGUGCUGAGAGAGGAGAAUCUCCCAGAAAAGUGAAAGAUGUUUACCAGUGCCGUGUUGGAGAAACAUCCAAUGAGACGCCAGAAAAACCUCCAGCGGAUGUGGAAGUGGCACCACAGCAUCAGAAACAGCAGUCCAUCACUUUAACUUCCACCAAAGAAUUUAAUUUUGACAAUGCUGAUGGAGAUUCAUGUGAGCCUAAUCUUGCUUCUGACUGGUGGGCAAACGAGAAGGUAAUUGGGAAGGGUACCGGGGCCAUUAAAAACUGGGCCUUCUUCCCUAUGAUACAGCCGGGUGUGAGCUAACUGGUAUGGUAAACACUCUGUUUCUCCAUGUUUAUGGAAGCAUUAUUUGAGGGGAUCAAUGGAGUUGAUGACAACACAACAAAUAAUAGACAGUUUUGGUGUUAUAGAUAUAGAUGGGAAAGGUGACACAUGAAGGCUGAUUUUGAGUAAUUAGUGACCUAAAAACAGUGGGGGCAAUAGUUCCAAGAGACUUCCAGGUCAAGUCAACAACAUUGAAUCGCUUGGAUUGGAAUUAGUCUAUCCCGUGGUCAGUCCGAUUCAGGUUAAAGGUAGAAUUCGUUUUAGCUUUGAACCGGUUUCAUUUGCAUUGAACCAUAUGAAUUUUGUCAGGUCAUAUUGAUGCAACCAUUAUGAUGAUAUUAGCAACCUUGAUUGUCGAGACCCUGUGGUUUGGGUUAAA